AAAUAGCCUCAUCAGUUACAUGUGUUAUUAUUUGUUGUGGAGUUCAUCUGUAGGCUAUAGUGCUAUCAAAAUGUAAAGCAGACUACAAGUGUGUCACUUUUUGACUUGUAUUCCCAGACAGCACAUGUACGUCUGGCCGACGUCGGCCCAAUAUCUAAACGUCGGCCUCUAUACCUAAAACAUCUAUAAAACAUCGGCCUGGCGGAGGCCGAUAUAAUUUGGUCAGUGCUCUGUUCUCCAGCUCAUCAAUCGUCGGCCCUGAGUUGGUUCAGGACCGCGGGCCGAUGCCGCGCUUCUCUGUGUGCGCGUGCCCAGUAUUCGUCUCUUUUAGCCACCCAGAGAGAGAGAAGAGGAUAAUCCCAGCGACAUCUGUGGCUCUGAGGCUUUCAGAAAUAAUCCGGUGAAAUAAUAUGAUGUUUGUUUGUGUGAAUGCUGUGUGUGCGUUGAGUCCUGCGCGAGCGGGGAGCAG